GCGGGGUGGCGGCGUGCUCGAAAAUGUUAAAGUUCUUAUUUCAUGGUAUAACUUUGGUAUGCUUGGACCUAGAGUCUUCAAACUUGACAUGAAGGUUGGCCAGGAUUAACAGAUGACCACUGGUCAUUUCAAGGUCAUUCAUUUGAAGGUGAAGGUCACUGUGACCUUCAAUAUAAAAAUGUUAAAGUUGUUAUAACUUUGGUAUGCUUGGACCUAGAGUCUUGAAACUUGACAUGAAGGUUGGCCAGAACUAGUAAGUAACCACUGGACAUUUCAAGGUCAUUCAUUUGAAGGUCAAGGUCACUGUGACCUUGAAUGUAAAAAUGUUAAAGUUGUUAUAACUUUGGUAUGCUUGGACCUAGAGUCUUGAAACUUGACAUGAAGGUUGGCCAGAACUAGUAAGUAACCACUGGACAUUUCAAGGUCAUUCAUUUGAAGGUCAAGGUCACUGUGACCUUGAAUGUAAAAAUGUUAAAGUUCUUAUUUCAUGUUAUAACUUUGGUAUGCUUGUACCUAGAGUCUUCAAACUUGAAAUAAAGAUUGGCCAGUACUAGAAGAUGACCACUGGUCAUUUCAAUGUCAUUCAUUUGAAGGUCAAGGUCACUGUGACCUUAAAUGUUAAAAUGUUAAAAUUGUUAUAACUUUGGUAUGCUUGGACAUAGAGUCUUCAAACUUGACAUGAAGGUUUGCAAGCACACUUAGAUGACCACUGGUCAUUUCAAGGUCAUUCAUUCUAAGGUCAAGGUCACUGUGACCUUGAAUGUAAAAAUGUUAAAGUUCUUAUAACUUUGGUAGGUAAAAAUGUUAAAGUUCUUAUUCCAUGUUAUAACUUUGGUAUGCUUGUACCUAGAGUCUUCAAACUUGACAUAAAGGUUGGCCAGUACUAGAAGAUCACCACUGCUCAUUUCAAUGUCAUUCAUUUGAAGGUCAAGGUCACUGUGACCUUCAAUGUUAAAAUGUUAAAAUUGUUAUAACUUUGGUAUGCUUGGACCUAGAAUCUCAAACUUGACGUAAAGGUUUGCAAGCACACUUAGAUGACCACUGGUCAUUUCAAGGUCAUUCAUUUCAAUGUCAUUCAUUCUAUCUGCUAGAACUGGUGUGAUAGAAACCUUUUGGAGUGAUCAUAAGGCUGUCUGGAUUUCUGUGUAGGUAUGUGAAAGCAAAACAAUAAAUAGUAUUAUUUCAUCUAAGUUUAUUUUCUUACAUUUGAUAAUGAAAUUGAUGGAAACUUCAAACAAUAUCUUACUAAUUUGCUAAUAAAAAAAUUGAGAUCAAACUUU